GACGGCACGAAGGAGUUCCUUAGAGUUCAGAAGCACUUCUAUUGACGCUUUUCCUGACUACCCACCCCUGUGAUUCUUCAAAGUGGCCAAAGUUGUUUGGCUCCAACCAUCAGGAAGUAAGGUCAUUGCCAACAAUUAAAUCUGGGCAGAGCUGCUGCUGAGGAC